rnacentral:pre_miRNA from 1 species
GCACCUCACUGUCCUGUAUGGCUUUUUAUUCCUAUGUGAUUAUACAUGCCACUUCAUAUAGGGAUUGAAGCCGUGCAAGGCGCUGGGGUCC